rnacentral:snRNA from 1 species
AUCGCUUCUCGGCCUUUUGGCUAAGAUCAAGUGUAGAAAAUAGUGGAGACUUCCAAGGUCUUUACUAUAGAACCAAAAACUGAAGUCCUAAGUCCUUAAAAUUUUUUCUUAGCAAAUUUUCAGUAUGCUAAAAUAUAUACAAAUUUGUGUGUAUUUUUAAAAUGUUUUCCCUAA